UAAAAGUAUUUCCUCUCUCUCUCUCAGAGGUCAAAGGUCUCUCGCCCCCCAUCAGGUGUGAGUGUGUGUUGCCGGGUGAAGAGCUGGCAGAGUAGUCGUAACCACGGUAGCGUAAGAUCAAAACACCACACACAUCUCCCACAAUGCACCUGACCUUGUCUGAUGUAAACAGACCUGAAGAUAAAAGACAGAAGAAGAGAAAGAGGAAGGAUAGAAAGAGUGAAGAGAGGAGUGACGUGAAGGAGCAGCUGAUGAUCAGACUGAUCAUCACAACAGGAUUGUCCCAAACUAACAGCUGAUGUCACCAGAAAAAGCAGAACCACCUCAGCAGGAGGAACAGGUCGCUCCUACCAGUUGCCAUGGAGAGGAUCGGUGUCUGGACCAAACAACCUGACAACAGGAGUUCCACUAGGCUCUAUCCUGGACCCUCUUCUCCGGACAUUUGGUCAUGUCAUACUCUUGCAUGGCUUCUCCUACCACUGCUAUGCUGAUGACACCCAGCUAUUCUUGUUCCCCAGUCUUCCACUCAGGUGGAGGCAUUGCUGUUCACCUGCACCAUCUAAAGCUCAACCUGGACCAGAGUGAGCUUUGGUGCUGCCCUACAGGGGAGUGAAACCCUCCACUCCUCCUCUGCUUCUGGAACCUUUGGUUUUGUGUUUUAAGCAGUUCAUUUGGGAGGGUUGCAAUUCCAAUUUUUGAUGACAUCUAGCUCUUGUUCCUUUUGAGUUUCAAUGCAGUCACUGUAAGUCUCUUUGGACAAAAGCAUCUGCCACAUGAAUGUAAUGUUUUGAAUUGAUGGUCUGUCUUUGAGUAAUAAAAAGAGCAUGUAUCUUUGAAAGUUCUUUCUUGUUGAUAAAUACAUCUCAUUUGCUUGCGUCGAGAGGCUGCUGGCAUGUACUGUAUAUUCCUGCUUCUCAAUAUGAGUCAAUUUCUGCUUUUCACUGUAGGUCUCUACUACUUCCUAUGUUGUCUCAACAUUUUCCAGUCCUGUGUUGCUGUGUGACUAUUCUCUGGCACGAUAUCAGGAUUAUCCCGACAUCUGUCAUGGACUACCAUGGCCUAAGCUUCCACUGCUAUGUCGAUGACACUCAGCUGUACCUCAGCACUAAACCAUCCACUCAGCUCCCCCUACAGUCCCUUGUCAACUGCCUGCACAACAGAAAUACCUGGAUGUCAUCUAAUCUACUUAAGCUAAACAGCAACAAAACAGAGCUCAUGGUUGUGGCUUCCAAGGCACCGCUCCGAAAGGUUGGAGAUCCUCUCCUCAACGUGACAGAUUAUUCUAAGAAAUUCAAAUAAAAGUGCAAAGAACUGGAGAUCCUUAGUUCACCUGACUUAAAAUUUUAAGGCAGCCAGGUUACAAUUUAACCUGGGUCCAGGUUAUUUGCAUUUAUAUGGUCAGAAAUUUUGUCCCAUUACAUUUUAUUUGUUGUUUCACUCAUAUUUCUAUUUUCACAAAAUGUACUUCAGGCCUAAAAGAAAGCGAAAGUCUGUCAGAGCGACCUGCUGACUUUAUUCACUGUGAGGAAAUCAUUUCAGUACAGCCAAACAGUCAUUAAAACAAGAUUUACAUUAAAAACAACAAAAACCAAAAUGAGUGGAGCUGAAUGGAAACAUCAGCUUUGAUUGACAGCGCUAUAAAUGUGUGAAGACAUUAACAUUCAGUUUUCUUUUUUUCAUACAAAACAAUGGUUUGUUUUUCAGUGUGGCACCACCACAUACACACACAUGUCUAAAACCCCAUGAAGACGACAUGACUCAACAUCCAUUUAUACAAAAACAAUCUGAGAUAUAAAUACACUAUUUAUAAUCUGUAUGUUACAAAAGAGUUUCCCUCGGUGAGCUGAGUGACGGGGUGGGGGCCGUGAUCAACCACAGUGACGUAUAAAUAUUCAGCCAGCUACAACUUUGGCAAAAAUCACAAAACCCACAGAGAAAACACAGGGGGCGGGGUUUUGGGUGAAUGGGCGUGGUUUAAGAGCUCGGGGCUUGAGGAGGAGGAGGAGCUAGAAUAAAUGAGACAACUUUGAACAAGAAGACAGAUAGUCACAGAUAGCCUAUGAGGAUGCAAGAUUUGUUUUUACAGUGCGAGCAUAAAAAAGAAAAACAGAUAAAAAUAAAUUAACACAUACAGGCAGGGGCGUGGCUAAAGAAAGAAGGGCGGGGCUAAUAACGGGAGGAAGAUAAUUUUCAUUCAUUACUCUUUCUUUUAGUUGAUCUUUUCAUUGUGCUUCCAGAGGUCAGAAGACUCUGUGUUGAGUUUAUUAAAACAACAAAAGGCCCCAAAUUAUUAUUGACUAUUAUUAUUAUUGACUGCGGGUCAGAAACACGUUCUUCAUGAUAUUCAACUGCUAAAAACAAGUUAAACUGAAUUCAUGUACAGACGAAGUUGUCACAAUACUGGGCUCUGAUUGGCUGACAGCAGCAGAAGUAAACCAGCUAGAGGUUUCAUUUGAUGGAUUUUAAUUAUUUCUCAGUGAGAGGAACCAAUCAGGAUCAAGCUUAGCAGUGAUGACAGAAAAUGGCUCCCUAACUAGAAAGUUUCAUUCUUAGUGUGUCCCUACAUAAGAAGGCUUCUCCUUCCAUGUUCCCUUACUGAAAGCUUCCGUCGUCCUUGCUUCCUAGGUAUAGAUCUUCCUUCUUCACUUUUUUCUACCUGGAAGCCUCCAUUUUCUCUGCCCCCAAACAAGGAAGCUUCCUUCUUCAUUGUAGCAGAGAAGGAAACGGAACAAAGUUGGGAAGUUCUUGUUCUGUAUUUUUCUG